UGAGCAGACCAAGACUCUGCUGCUUUUACUGAAAUGCCAUCAUAAUCUCCUCCCUCCUUCCUUCCCUCUCUUUGCAAUUUUAUGAACUCCCUUGUUCAUCGCUGUAUUCAUCUUCUUCCCAAAUAUAAAAACUGAAAUAAGAAACAACCAAGAUAUCAGAUUAUCAAGGUGAUUCAAAUAAAAAAUUGGUUUAUCAAGUGAGUGGAUUCGGAUUAACAUUUUUUCUCCUUGUCUUCGAUAAAUACUCCAUUACGCUGUCUUGAAUCUUGAUUAUGCGAUGCUGGCCUCCAAGAAAGCUUUGGAUAAGCUUUACCGUCAUUACACUCUAUUGUCUAAUCCUACCUAUUUCCCCUUGAUGAUUAAUUCGGAUAAUAGCUGCUGCUUCCAUGGAAACACCUCGUUUCAAUCGAAUUUCUCUUUAAAAGGUGCCAAUGAAUCACAAGGGACAAUGUUAUGGAGUGGACAAAGACGAAAUAUAUCUCGAGUUGGUUUGCAAUGGAACUCUAUGGAAAUUGAUAAUGUUUCUUGUCAUGAUUGGCAUUUGUCAAAACGCUAUUAUAACUCUAACCCAAAUGACAAACACUCCAGGGAAUUUGCAAAUAAGCUUUUAAAAAGCAUUCCAGAAUAUGUUAAGAUAGUGGAAGUAGGUCCGAGGGAUGGAUUACAGAAUGAAAAGGAGAUUGUACCUACUGCUGUAAAGGUUGAGUUGAUUAGGAUGCUAGUUUCUUCAGGGUUGCCUGUUGUUGAGGCUACAAGUUUUGUCUCGCCAAAAUGGGUACCACAGCUAGCAGAUGCGAAAGACGUAAUGGCAGCAGUUAGGAAUUUUGAAGGAGCUCGACUUCCAGUAUUAACUCCUAAUCUGAAAGGUUUUGAAGCAGCUGUUGCAGCUGGAGCUAAAGAAGUUGCCAUAUUUGCGUCAGCUUCAGAAUCUUUUUCAAAGUCGAAUAUCAAUUGCACCAUUGAAGAUAGUUUGGUUCGUUAUAACGAUGUUUCCCUUGCUGCCAACAAGCUCUCAAUUCCUGUUCGUGGAUAUAUAUCAUGUGUUGUGGGGUGUCCUGUCGAAGGAAUGGUAUCUCCAUCAAAUGUUGCAUAUGUGGCUAAACGACUUUAUGAAAUGGGUUGCUCUGAAAUUUCCCUGGGGGAUACAAUUGGUGUCGGUACUCCUGGUACUGUCAUUCCAAUGCUUGAAGCUGUUCUCGAUGUUGUCCCUAUCGAUAAGCUUGCUGUCCACUUUCAUGACACUUAUGGCCAAGCUCUGUCAAAUAUUCUCGCAUCACUCCAAAUGGGGAUCAACACUGUUGAUUCAUCAGUCUCUGGUCUGGGGGGUUGCCCAUAUGCUAAGGGGGCUUCUGGUAAUGUUGCUACUGAAGAUGUCAUUUACAUGCUCAAUGGCCUCGGAGUUGAGACCAACGUAGAUCUCCAACAGGUCAUGUUGGCAGGGAAUUACAUCUGCAAGCAUCUGGGACGCUCAUCUGGCUCAAAGACAGCUACUGCCUUGAGCAAAAUCACAGCUCAUGCAUCUAAACUUUGAUGUAUACAGAAUCGCGUUAUCAGUUUCCAUCGAGAUGCAUGUGAAAAUGUACUGCUUUCAUAAUAAAGUAUAAUCACAGAUAGUCGAUGACACUCGGCUGAACGUAUUCUGAUACUAAUGACAGGUGAACUUCUGAAGUGGAUACAUUACUUUUGGGGUAUCACUUUGUAAGAAACAUUUGAUAUAAUCUUUCUUAAGGUGCUGCACAUUCUAGUAAGAAUGGAGCCGUUGGGUGUUUAUGAAACUAUUACUCUUCCAAUAUGAAUAAUGCUGUAUCUUUGGAUUCUGGGGAUGUGUUGUAUGAAGCAAAAAAGAUAACACAGCACUUCAAAACCUUGGGAGGAAAUUUAUUAGUAAUGAAAAUGUUGGCCCUCAGGUAGGGUCUCUCCAAA